rnacentral:rRNA from 1 species
AGCUAACGUUGGCGGCGUGCCUAACACAUGCAAGUCGAACGAACCCUUCGGGGUUAGUGGCGGACGGGUGAGUAACACGUGGGAACGUGCCUUUAGGUUCGGAAUAACUCAGGGAAACUUGUGCUAAUACCGAAUGUGCCCUUCGGGGGAAAGAUUUAUCGCCUUUAGAGGGGCCCGCGUCUGAUUAGCUAGUUGGUGAGGUAAUGGCUCACCAAGGCUACGAUCAGUAGCUGGUCUGAGAGGAUGACCAGCCACAUUGGGACUGAGACACGGCCCAAACUCCUACGGGAGGCAGCAGUGGGGAAUCUUGCGCAAUGGGCGAAAGCCUGACGCAGCCAUGCCGCGUGGAUGAUGAAGGUCUUAGGAUUGUAAAAUCCUUUCACCGGUGAAGAUAAUGACUGUAGCCGGAGAAGAAGCCCCGGCUAACUUCGUGCCAGCCGCCGCCGUAACAC